AGCAAGGUUGAGUAAUUGGUCAACCCAUCAUGCUCAUGACCUGAAUACUGUAGGUUUGAAUCCUUUCCCUGCCU
rnacentral:tRNA from 1 species